rnacentral:rRNA from 1 species
AUUGAACGCUGGCGGAAUGCUUUACACAUGCAAGUCGAACGGCAGCACGGGGGCAACCCUGGUGGCGAGUGGCGAACGGGUGAGUAAUACAUCGGAACGUGCCCAGUCGUGGGGGAUAACGUAGCGAAAGUUACGCUAAUACCGCAUACGAUCUACGGAUGAAAGCGGGGGACCGUAAGGCCUCGCGCGAUUGGAGCGGCCGAUGUCAGAUUAGGUAGUUGGUGAGGUAAAGGCUCACCAAGCCGACGAUCUGUAGCUGGUCUGAGAGGACGACCAGCCACACUGGGACUGAGACACGGCCCAGACUCCUACGGGGGGCAGCAGUGGGGAAUUUUGGACAAUGGGCGCAAGCCUGAUUCAGCCAUUCCGCGUGCAGGACGAAGGCCUUCGGGUUGUAAACUGCUUUUGUACGGAACGAAAAGGCUCUGGUUAAUACCUGGGGCUCAUGACGGUACCGUAAGAAUAAGCACCGGCUAACUACGUGCCAGCCGCCGCGGUAA